GAAUUCCGGGUGUGGCGGUGAAAUGCGUAGAUAUGCGGAGGAACACCGAUGGCGAAGGCAGCCCCCUGGGCCUGUACUGACGCUCAUGCACGAAAGCGUGGGGAGCAAACAGGAUUAGAUACCCUGGUAGUCCACGCCCUAAACGAUGUCAACUGGUUGUUGGGUGAAAGCCCACGGCUCAACCGUGGAGGGUCAUUGGAAACUGGGGAACUUGAGUGCAGAAGAGAAAAGCGGAAUUCCACGUGUAGCGGUGAAAUGCGUAGAGAUGUGGAGGAACACCAGUGGCGAAGGCGGCUUUUUGGUCUGUAACUGACGCUGAGGCGCGAAAGCGUGGGGAGCAAACAGGAUUAGAUACCCUGGUAGUCCACGCCGUAAACGAUGAGUGCUAAGUGUUAGAGGGUUUCCGCCCUUUAGUGCUGCAGCUAACGCAUUAAGCACUCCGCCUGGGGAGUACGGUCGCAAGACUGAAACU
rnacentral:rRNA from 1 species